rfam:Triticum aestivum genome assembly, contig: Triticum_aestivum_CS42_TGACv1_scaffold_516643_6BS
AUAAUACUCCCUCCAUCCGGAAAUACUUGUCGGCGAAAUGGAUAAAACUAGAUGUAUCUAUAACUAAAAUACAUCUAGAUACAUCCAUUUCUCCGACAAGUAUUUUUGGACGGAGGGAGUAUUUU